GCCUUGGGGCGGGAGUAAAACCUCCCUCUCCUGGAGGCCCCAUUUCCGGCAGGCGCCGAGGGUGGACUCGCCCGCUGCGCUCCUUGCUGGAGGUGUCAGUUUAGCUGAAUUGUCCCCUCCCGCCCCGCUCCCUCGCCCUCCUUUCUGCCCGGCACCGCCCCGGCGCCCGCAUGUUCCCCCGCCAGCUCCGGGGUCUGAGCGUCAAGCUAGUCCCAAGGCCGAUCACGGUGGUUAGAGCUGAGGCUCCCACACCCUGCUCUCCCCCUGAGAAAGCGCUCUGCUUGGCUGUGAAACUGUCCCUGCUAGGGGAAGGAGGGCGGCAGGAUGGGCAUUUUAACCUGUAAAGAUGAUUUAUAGGAUUCUUGCUCUGUUGUUUCCUUUCACACUUGCAAACCACGUGUGUCUGCAAGAAUGGCAGAUUGGGGGUUUCUCUGCGAUCCCUGGGGAGAUUCCGGAUUGUUUUAGCAGCUAGCUGAGCAUAUUGCACUUAACCUGAGAGGAGAUGGAAUCAGCCAGAAGAGGUGAGUUCUGAAGAGAUGAAUUCUGAUGGAUUCUGACUGAGCACAUUUCCCACAGAAGUGCUUAUCAUAGUAGAGAACUGAGUUUUGCGGGCUGGCAUCACCGGUAGAGUUACUAAGGAGAAUGGGAGACAGUCCAGCAAGGGAUCCAUUCUCCCAGAGAACCAGGAACUGUUUGUAACCCCCGGAGCAGUUCAGCCAGUCACAGAACAGCAUCAUGGCCAAGCGUGAUGCUGGAGAAGGCACCUCUGCUGAAAGAGGGAAGCAGAAAUCUGAGUGAUGUGGGGAGCGAGGGCACCAUGUAUCAAGUAUUCCCAGGGACUGCCCAUUUCACAGCUCCUUGCAAAUCUGCCUGGUGACAGCACUAUGGGGCAGCCUGAGCCUGGAAGAUGAGGUUAUUCAAUCUGCCUGCCGAAGGUCAGCAUCUAAUGGAGUCCAUGCUCACUGUUGCACAAGUAGGGGGAGCAUAGGAACAGGAA